UACGUAGGGGGCAAGCGUUGUCCGGAAUUAUUGGGCGUAAAGAGCGUGUAGGCGGUCCGAUAAGUCCGCUGUGAAAGUCCAGGGCUCAACCCUGGGAUGCUGGUGGAUACUGUCGGGCUCGAGUCCGGAAGAGGAGUGUGGAAUUCCUGGUGUAGCGGUGAAAUGCGCAGAUAUCAGGAGGAACACCAAUGGCGAAGGCAGCACUCUGGGACGUGACUGACGCUGAGACGCGAAAGCGUGGGGAGCGAACAGG
rnacentral:rRNA from 1 species